rnacentral:rRNA from 1 species
AACCUAAAGAAUUUGGCGGUUUCUAAACUUACUAGAGGAACCUGUCCCGUAAACGACAAUCCACGAAAAAAUCAACCCAAACUUGUUAUUCAGCUUAUAUACCGUCGUUUAGGGGAUUAAACAAAUAGAUCUCCUUAAGAGCUUAGGCUAAUAAAUCAGAUCAAGGUGUAGCUUAUGUUUGGGUGAGGAUGGGUUACAAUGAAAAUUCAUACGGAACCUUUAUAUUACUGCAAAGGAGAAGGUGGAUUUAGAAGUAAGACCUAACACACUGAAGAAAGCCCUGAGAAAUGUACACAUCGCCCGUCGCUCUCUUGUCCGAAGAGAUAAGUCGUAACAAAGUAGGUGUAUCGGAAGGUUCAUCUUGAAAGA